CUACGGGGGGCAGCAGUGGGGAAUAUUGGACAAUGGGGGAACCCUGACGCAGCAACGCCGCGUGAGUGAUGAAGGCUUUCGGGUCGUAAAGCUCUGUCAAGUGGGAAGAACCUAUGCAGUGUUAAUAUCACUGUAUACUGACGGUACCACUGAAGGAAGCACCGGCUAACUCCGUGCCAGCAGCCGCGGUAAUACGGGGGGUGCAAGCGUUAUUCGGAAUCAUUGGGCGUAAAGGGCACGUAGGCGGCUUGGUAAGUCAGAUGUGAAAGCCCGGGGCUUAACCCCGGAAGUGCAUUUGAUACUGUCAGGCUUGAGUAUGGGAGAGGGAAGUGGAAUUCCUGGUGUAGAGGUGAAAUUCGUAGAUAUCAGGAGGAACACCGGUGGCGAAGGCGACUUCCUGGACCAAUACUGACGCUGAGGUGCGAGGCGUGGGUAGCAAACAGGAUUAGAUACCCCGGUAGUC
rnacentral:rRNA from 1 species